AAUGGCUAGAAGACCUGCUGGGGAUGGACGCCAACACCUGUUCACCCAACAGCAGGAACUUGCCAUAGUGAACCUAGUCAGAGCAAACAAUGCAAUCCGUCUCCACCAGCUGCAGCAACAAAUACUUGCAGAUCGGCAAGUAUUCAACAACAUAAAUCGAGCAUUACAACUAUCAGACGCAUCUUGGUAAAGCACAACAUGACCAUGAAGCAAUUGUACAGGGUCCCAUUUAAGAGGAACAGUGUCAGGGUCAAAGAACUUCGACAUGAAUAUGUACAGAGAAUCUUGGACAUGGAUGGAGCCGCCCAGCCGCAUGAAUGUAUUUACAGUGAGGAGACUGGAUUCAACCUUAGCAAAAACAGACGACAGGGACGUAAUAUAAUUGGCCAAAGGGCAAUUUUGCACGUCCCCGGGCAGCGCGGGGGAAAUAUCACAUUGUGUGCAGCCAUAAGUCUUCGAGGCCGACUGCACCAUCAUGCCAAACUGGGUCCCUAUAAUGCGCAACACAUCAUCGCAUUUCUAGAUGCACUUCAUGAUGCAGUUGGACAGGAUGGACCAGAGCUGCCCAGGUUUGUUGUUGUCUGGGAUAAUGUUAGUUUCCAUCGGGCUGCUCUGGUCCAGAACUGGUUCACCAACCAUGAUCACUUGAAAUUCUGUACUUGCCCCCUUACUCGUCAUUUCUAAAUCCUAUAGAGGAAUUUUUUUCCGCUUGGAGAUGGCGCGUAUAUGACCGCCAACCACAUGCCCGUUCUGUCUCUUCUGCAGGCAAUGGAACAGGCCUGCGGAGACACUGAGGUGAGGUCCAUCCAGAGAUGGAUUCGACACACGAGGGGAUAUUUUCGAGAGAAGACAUUGCUUGUGAUGUUGAUGAGAUCCUGUGGCCAGACCCCGACAGACGGCGGGAUCCAUAAGCCCAUUUGCGCACAAUUGUGUUUUUCUGUGUUUAUAGUAGUGUAUUGUUUUAUUUUUGAUUGAACUGAAUUUACUGUACUGUAUAAUAUACUACUGUAAUGUAAUGAUUUUGAAAUCAGUAUUUCAUUUUUUGGUUGUUGUGAAAACAUGCCCUCUGUGGAACUAAAUAAAAAACAUUGAAAACAAAA
ensembl:lncRNA